CACGGCUGUAUAAUAAUCCUCGCACUUAGCCAGGGCUGUAUAACAGGAUACCCACUAAGAGCUGUGCUCACAGCCCCAUCAUAUGAUAAAAAUGUCCUGUUUGUAGUCUUUUCCUGGUGUCCUUUACAUUGGAUCUUCCCCUGGUCACAAUCUGUGUUCACUGUGUUCUCUCUCACGUCUCUGCUGGUGAAUGUUUAAUGUCUGAGCUUUCAGUCUAGUGUGAGAGUUGAUGCUGGCAGGGACUUCCCCUAAACCUCG